rnacentral:tRNA from 1 species
AUGGGUUUAGUUCAGUGGUAGAACACUAGUCUCCAAAACUAGAAACGUGGGUUCGAUUCCUGCAACCUGUGCCA